CAGAGCCUUGGGUGACAUGGUUUAGUGUGAGGUGUCCCUGCCCAUGGCAGGGGGGUUGAAACUAGAUGAUCUUAAUGUCCUUUCCAGCUCUAACUGUUCUGUGAUUCUAUGAUAUAUCCGCCUAAGGGAUCUGCUCCUGAAGAACAAACCUUCUUGUGUACCUGAAAGCAUGUACAAGCCGCAUCUGAGUGGCUUCUGCUUUUUUUUUUUUUUUGUAGUGUACCUGUGCUCUGUUCCUUCCUUCACUUCAUUUCUGCUAGCCAGAAAGGUUUCACUCAUGAGCUUCUGCUUACUUUUGAAUAUUGACUAACACUGAAGCUUAAAUUCAACACAUUAAAUGCUUGACAAGAUUAGGAACACCCUUCCUUUUCAGCAAUAUGUGUGCUUGCUUGUGGAGACUCGUUUUUUUUUGGUCCUCCAAGCCACUGAUGAACAGUAUUAUGACUUGCUCAGGGCUUUUGUGAACAGCUGUGACAUGAAGAUGCAUCUGUCCUGCAGCAUCUGGCUGCUGCUGCUUUACAUGGAUCUGAGCUAGCUGUAAGUUAGCUAUCUUGAGUACUUAGCUGGAGCUUAACUUAAGCUCUAGAGCUCCCACGAAGCUGGAGAUUAAUAUAUGAGCAUGUAGUAUUCCUGAAAAGUGUGCUGCCAGGUUGUUCCUCAGUACUGUUAAAGGUUAAGUGCUAGAGCUGAGCACUGUCUUCAGGAUGUGAAGGAAAUAAGUCAUGCUGUGUGGAGAGUGACUGCAAACGUCACUGCAGAUUUGUUACCUGGAAUGGGGCAGCUGUGUCUUCAAGGAGGAGAAAAGAAGAAAAGAAAAUUUUAGCAGCAAAGAAGAGGGGGAAAUACAGUUCUUAAAAUAUUCUUACGGCUUCACCAAAAACUGUGAGUUAUUUGAUUUUUCCAGCAAUAUGAGCAAAGGAGAAAAGUUAUACUUAAUAGCUCUUACAGAAUAACUUGUAGCAUUUUUAGGCCUAAUGGUCAUUCUUGUCAUUGUGACAAAUGCUGUGUAGGGCAGUCUCUCUCUGUUUUGUGUCCCACACCACUGGUGUCUGUGAGGAUGAGGCAGAAUGGUGUGAUUUGGGGAUACAAUUUUGCCAUAGGUUUCAUAGAACUGUAGGAGACAUGUGUGUUAUACUAGAUUUUUUUUAAAAAAAGGAUUUAAACCUACUUGUUACUUUUAAUUAUAAUAAAUUGCUAUUAAAGACUCUGUUGAUUUGUUUUAUUGACUUUCUGGAUGGGAAAGUGUUUUAUUCCCUGUUUUCCCUCUUCCCUGGAAUAAAGUUCUGCGGCCUUGAUCAAUGUUAUCUGUGGAGAGGAUGUUCAGAGGCCAUGCAUCAGGAAGGAAGGUGGAAACGUGUCUGUUUAAAUGGGUGAAUUCCUCAUGGAGCAAUCUGAAGAAGACAGUUCAGUACAGCUCAGUGGUGCAGCUCCAUGGUUCUGCCUCCUCAACACACAAGGAGCUGGGCACCCUGGGUCUGCUGCCUUUCCCCAAGAAGGAUGAAGGACUUGGAGUCCAGCAACCUUUUGGCUUAUGCCUAUAACUUGCUCCUGGUUUGAUAACUGCAAGUGGAGAAUGGAGAUGAGAAGAAGCAUGGCAUUAAAGCAAACCUAUUGUUAAGCAGGGCUGUAUUUGCACCUGGGAGGCUGGAGAAGAACCUGUACACUAAGGAGCUAUUGCACACAGUUUCAGUCACGGCUGGAGAUACUGGUUUUCUCUGUCGCUGAGGCUGUUGGGUGCAAGUCUUUUCUUGAUGAAAAACAAGGCAUUGCUUUGAACAUAAUCUCGGUGGUGUUACCCUUUAUUUACAUACAGGUAUUUUGAGCCCCUGGGGUUCUUGUUCUCAUGGUUUUGUUCACAGCUCCCACAAGCAAGGAUUGUCUCAGUAUGAAAAGUAGAAAGGAGAACUCAGUAAUCAUAUUGCAACUGCAAGAGCCCUAGAAAAAAAAAAAACAA